AUUGUUGCACCAAGAAUACCAUAAAUUCUGCCAAUCACAACAGUUGAGGUUGUAAGAACGAUUGAUGCAUGUUUUUCGGAUGAAGUUGUGG